UACGUAGGGUCCGAGCGUUGUCCGGAAUUACUGGGCGUAAAGAGCUCGUAGGUGGUUUGUCGCGUUGUCCGUGAAAACUCACAGCUCAACUGUGGGCGUGCGGGCGAUACGGGGCAGACUGGAGUACUGCAGGGGAGACUGGAAUUCCUGGUGUAGCGGUGGAAUGCGCAGAUAUCAGGAGGAACACCGGUGGCGAAGGCGGGUCUCUGGGCAGUAACUGACGCUGGAGGAGCGAAAAGCGUGGGGAGCGAACAGG
rnacentral:rRNA from 1 species